rnacentral:rRNA from 1 species
GUUCCAAAAAUAUUGGAAGGGGGGGCUGGAAAUCUUCUCGGGGUUACAGCCUUGCUGAAUUAUUCACCCUUGUCUUUUGCGUACUUCUUGUUUCCUUGGUGGGUUCGCCCACCACUAGGACAAACAUAAACCUUUUGUAAUUGCAAUCAGCGUCAGUAACAAAUUAAUAAUUACAACUUUCAACAACGGAUCUCUUGGUUCUGGCAUCGAUGAAGAACGCAGCGAAAUGCGAUAAGUAGUGUGAAUUGCAGAAUUCAGUGAAUCAUCGAAUCUUUGAACGCACAUUGCGCCCUUUGGUAUUCCAAAGGGCAUGCCUGUUCGAGCGUCAUUUGUACCCUCAAGCUUUGCUUGGUGUUGGGCGUCUUGUCUCUAGCUUUGCUGGAGACUCGCCUUAAAGUAAUUGGCAGCCGGCCUACUGGUUUCGGAGCGCAGCACAAGUCGCACUCUCUAUCAGCAAAGGUCUAGCAUCCAUUAAGCCUUUUUUUCAACUUUUGACCUCGGAUCAGGUAGGGAUACCCGCUGAACUUAAGCAUAUCAAUAAGCGGAGGAA